rnacentral:rRNA from 1 species
GAUGAACGCUGGCGGCGCGCCUAAUACAUGCAAGUCGAGCGAACGGACGAGAAGCUUGCUUCUCUGAUGUUAGCGGCGGACGGGUGAGUAACACGUGGAUAACCUACCUAUAAGACUGGGAUAACUUCGGGAAACCGGAGCUAAUACCGGAUGAUAUUUUGAACCGCAUGGUUCAAAAGUGAAAGACGGUCUUGCUGUCACUUAUAGAUGGAUCCGCGCUGCAUUAGCUAGUUGGUAAGGUAACGGCUUACCAAGGCAACGAUGCAUAGCCGACCUGAGAGGGUUAGCGGCCCCAAGAGAACGGGAGACCGGCCAAGGCCCCGGAGGGGGGCCGGAGUAGGGAGUGCGCCAGAAGGGGGGAAGCCUGGACGAGGGAACGCCGCGGGAGGGAGGAAGGUCUCGGGAGGGAAAAACUCUUUUAGGAGGGAAAAACAUUUGAGAAGGGAAGGGGCGAAAGUUUGGGGGCACCAAGAAAAAAAGCCCGGGAAAAACGCG